rnacentral:rRNA from 1 species
GGCGCACGGGUGAGUAACGCGUAGGUAAUCUACCCUUGUACCUGGGAUAACAUUGGGAAACUGGUGCUAAUACCGGAUACACUUCAUAACUGCGGGGUUAUGGAGGAAAGGUGGCCUCUUGGUCAAAGCUACCGUAUAGGGAUGAGCCUGCGUACCAUUAGCUAGUAGGUGAGGUAACGGCCCACCUAGGCAACGAUGGUUAGCGGGUCUGAGAGGAUGAUCCGCCACACUGGAACUGGAACACGGACCAGACUCCUACGGGAGGCAGCAGUGAGGGAUAUUGCGCAAUGGGGGAAACCCUGACGCAGCGACGCCGCGUGAGUGAGGAAGGCCUUCGGGUCGUAAAGCUCUGUCAGAAGGGAAGAAGUGUUAUACGGUUAAUACCCGUAUGAUUUGACGGUACCUUCAGAGGAAGCACCGGCUAACUCCGUGCCAGCAGCCGCGGUAAUACGGAGGGUGCGAGCGUUGUUCGGAAUUACUGGGCGUAAAGGGCGCGUAGGCGGCUUUAUAAGUCAGAUGUGAAAUCCCACGGCUCAACUGUGGAAGUGCAUUUGA